rnacentral:rRNA from 1 species
GACAGAGGGGGCAAGCGUUGCUCGGAAUUACUGGGCGUAAAGGGCGCGUAGGCGGGAUGGCAAGUCGGUCGUGAAAUCCUUCGGCUCAACCGAAGAACGUCGAUCGAUACUGCUGUUCUUGAGGGUUGCAGAGGAGACUGGAAUUCAUGGUGUAGCAGUGAAAUGCGUAGAGAUCAUGAGGAAGACCAGUGGCGAAGGCGGGUCUCUGGACAGUUCCUGACACUGAGACACGAAGGCCAGGGGAGCAAACGGG